rnacentral:hammerhead_ribozyme from 1 species
AUCUCACCGACGAGUCCCAAACAGGACGAAACACGCGUCGAACUAGAU